AGCUCUGUAAGCGUAUACCAAAGUUGUUGCAGUUAAAACGCUCGUAGUCGGAAUUUGGUGGGUGAGGCAGGUCAUCUUUGCGGAUGAACUUGUAUCAACCACCUUUGUGGAGGGGGGCUUAGUGGUGCUUUAUUGCCUCGCUAAGUCGCUGCCACCGUUUACUGUGAAAAAAUUGGAGUGUUCAAAGCAGGCGUUUGCCUUGUACACAUUAGCAUGGAAUAAUAGAAUAGGACCUGGUUCUAUUUUGUUGGUUUGUGAGAAUUAGGUAAUGAUUAAGAGGGACGGUUGGGGGCAUUUGUAUUCUGCCGUCAGAGGUGAAAUUCUUAGAUUGGCGGAAGACAAACAGCUGCGAAAGCGUCUGCCAAGGACGUUUUCAU
rnacentral:rRNA from 1 species